rnacentral:rRNA from 1 species
UACGUAGGGGGCAAGCGUUGUCCGGAUUUAUUGGGCGUAAAGAGCGUGUAGGCGGCCAAACAGGUCCACUGUGAAAACUCGAGGCUCAACCUCGAGAGGUCGGUGGAAACCGUAUGGCUAGAGUCCGGAAGAGGAGAGUGGAAUUCCCGGGUGUAGCGGUGAAAUGCGCAGAUAUCGGGAAGAACACCCGUGGCGAAGGCGGCUCUCUGGGACGGUACUGACGCGUGAGACGCGAAAGCGUGGGGAGCGAACAGG